GACGAACGCUGGCGGCGUGCUUAACACAUGCAAGUCGAACGGUGAAGCUCCAGCUUGCUGGAGUGGAUCAGUGGCGAACGGGUGAGUAACACGUGAGCAACCUGCCCCUGACUCUGGAAUAAGCGCUGGAAACGGCGUCUAAUACUGGAUACGAGAAGGGUCCGCAUGGGCACUUUCUGGAAAGUUUUUCGGUUGGGGAUGGGCUCGCGGCCUAUCAGCUUGUUGGUGAGGUAAUGGCUCACCAAGGCGACGACGGGUAGCCGGCCUGAGAGGGCGACCGGCGACACUGGGACUGAGACACGGCCCAGACUCCUACGGGAGGCAGCAGUGGGGAAUAUUGCACAAUGGGCGAAAGCCUGAUGCAGCGACGCCGCGUGAGGGAUGACGGCCUUCGGGUUGUAAACCUCUUUCAGCAGGGAAGAAGCGAAAGUGACGGUACCUGCAGAAGAAGCACCGGCUAACUACGUG
rnacentral:rRNA from 1 species